CUAGAGAUUUAGUACAAGCCGGUAGCUACUUUUGACCAAAAAAGCAAAUAGGUAUCGCCAAACCCUAUUACCGAAAAAGACUUUCGCUCCGCUUUAUAUUAUAAAGUAAAUCGCUCGAGCCAACCAUCCAACAUAGUUCAGACAAUAAACACACACACACACACACACACACACACACACACACACACACACAAGGGGGCACGCCCCAAUCCGAGUACAAGGUUCAAUGCUGAGAGCACAGCUUAACAAGCCCCAAGUGAAAAAACACAAAAAAGCACCACAUGUAGCAAGCUCAAUCGGACACCGGAGGAGGGGGCGGCAGCGGAGGUGCCACGCGGAAGGCCAUCGAGCGGAGGUCGGCGAGGAGGGUGUUGAUGGCGUCCCGGUCCUGAAAGCGGCUAAGCGGCUGUCAAAGCCCUAUUUAGUAGCAAUCUACAACUUGAAUCAUGCAUGUUACCAACAACAGCCAGAUUCCAUCAUCUCGUGGGAGCCAAGCAACCACUCAGGAAGUCAAUAGACAACCAACCCAAUUAGUGAAUCAUCAUGACGAUGAUUAGUAUGCAUACCUUGAUAUACAGCUUGUGCUCCCCUAGAGUUGCCACUAACAAUGCAACCUUAGCUUCUUUAAGUGGCCACAGACAGGUGCAGCUGGACCCUGGUCUGAUUGGCAUCGUCCACCUUCCUGCGGUACACCUCCAAGCAUUCUAUUUCUAUCUCUUGACAAGACCUUGCUCUUCUGACCCUCACUUUCCCCUACCUCUGCCCAGAUUCGCUGAGUGACAGAAACAAGAGGGCAUGAGUAAUCAACGAGGUUUCGUGUUUUACCUACACGUACACCAACAAUCUAGACAGAUGAGAGAGAUAGAGCUCACCUUGUUCUUCAGUCUUCCUCUUGUCUUCUUCAUUGGAUUUGCACACAUCUUAUUUAGAAAAAAAUAUAAAUUGAGAAAUCAAAGUCAGAUUAUCAAAGAACCAGGUGGAAAUCAAGGGGCAAGAAAAAUAGAGGAGAAAGAUAGAUGUGCAGCCAAGAUUGGGGAUGGGGCACGACGACCGGAAAGCAACGGUAGGCAGUGAAGGCCGACUCCAUUCCACCAUCACCUGAACGCUCCUUCCUAACAUCUCCCCUUCCCACCCUCCCCUACUCCUCCACACCCACCAUGAUUCCUGAGCCCGAUCCAGAAUCAUGGUACAUCGAGAACGUGAGGAGGUGCCGCUUGCGGGGAAGAGUGAAAGAAGCAGAGAGACGGUUCCUUCUUUCCGCUGUCCAACGCUGCCACACGAGCCGGUGGUGAGGCGGUGGCUGGCCGGCGUCACCCCUCCCUCCUCGAUCUCUCAUCCUCACCGUCGUCGACCUGCUCCUCCCCUACCACUGAACUCCUGCGCGGGGCAAGGAUGGGGGCUCCUAAGGGGACAAGAAGGACUCUGGGCGGGGCGGCUCUGGCGUGAUGGAGAGAGCGGGGAUGGGGAGGCGGCCGCUGCACGGGGUAGCAGGGGGAGUGGAGAGCGGGGAAGGAAGGACGUGAGGCUCGAGGAGCAUGGAGGAUUGGU
rnacentral:lncRNA from 1 species